rnacentral:rRNA from 1 species
UACGUAGGGUGCGAGCGUUGUCCGGAAUUAUUGGGCGUAAAGGGCUCGUAGGCGGUUUGUCGCGUCGGGAGUGAAAACCUCGGGCUUAACUCGGGGCUUGCUUUCGAUACGGGCAGACUAGAAGUAUGCAGGGGAGAACGGAAUUCCUGGUGUAGCGGUGAAAUGCGCAGAUAUCAGGAGGAACACCGGUGGCGAAGGCGGUUCUCUGGGCAUGAUCUGACGCUGAGGAGCGAAAGUGUGGGGAGCGAACAGG